AACGAACGCUGGCGGCAUGCCUAACACAUGCAAGUCGAACGAGACCUUCGGGUCUAGUGGCGCACGGGUGCGUAACGCGUGGGAACCUGCCUUUAGGUUCGGAAUAACUCAGAGAAAUUUGAGCUAAUACCGGAUGAUGUCUUCGGACCAAAGAUUUAUCGCCUUUAGAUGGGCCCGCGUUGGAUUAGCUAGUUGGUUGGGUAAAGGCCUACCAAGGCGACGAUCCAUAGCUGGUCUGAGAGGAUGAUCAGCCACACUGGGAAUGAGACACGGCCCAGACUCCUACGGGAGGCAGCAGUGGGGAAUAGUGGACAAUGGGCGAAAGCCUGAACCAGCAAUGCCGCGUGAGUGAUGAAGGCCUUAGGGUUGUAAAGCUCUUUUACCCGAGAUGAUAAUGACAGUAGCGGGAGAAUAAGCUCCGGCUAACUCCGUG
rnacentral:rRNA from 1 species